UCUUAGAAAUGAAGCAACUGCAGAAAAGGGACAUCCUGAGGAGAGGUACACCAACGCCUUCCUUGGGCACGGACCAGAGGACUCACAUUUUGUGUAGAGCUCACUUACUCAGAAGUGACGAUAUUGGAUCUGGUUUUGGUCAUUUCGGAAUUGCUAUUGAGGAUGGGCGCCAUAGCUAAAAUUUGACGUGAGAAGUGCAGCCACAACAAUGGGCAGCCAAAUAAAAAAUAUAGGGAGACAUAAGGAGAAUAUAACUGGUCAUACUUCAACAAUGGCCACACUACUUAUGAUGGUUCAAGAGAAGAUAUCCGUGAUACUGAGCCUGGUGAUGAGGGCAUCAAGACAAAGAGAUUAAUUCACAACUCUGUUGUUGAUAGGUUGUACAAAUUUACAAGGCACCAUGAUAUGUAACUUAUGUUUGUUGCUUCGGAGAGUACUGCCAUGCUGCCAUGGUCUUCAAAAUGUGGAAGGUGACUUUUGCUUGAUCUAGAGUGGACGUUGAGCCUUGCCUUGUGGUGGCAGUAGACAAGGAAGUCGCCCAUUGAUUGAUCUUGAGAUGGCCAUGUCCCUGCAUUGCGGACGCUGAAGACAGUGUGUGUGGUAUGAGCCCUGUCUCCUCCAACUUAUUGGAAGCAAGUCUUCAUCACUAUCCGCGCCAAAUUUUCUCCCCAUCCAGGCCUACAAUGUGUUCCUCCUAUUCCAUGGUUGUACCAUUUUUGCUGUGCUUUGUAUGAGUGUUUGGCAUCCUCUCUUUGCCUCAGAUAAGAGAUGCACUAGCUUUCCGAAUCUUCAUGGAACUACUGAAUUUGAACGCAUACUUUGGCCUCUUUCUGGUCCAGCGUUUUUGCAUCAACAUUUGAAUCAUUUUUUAUAAAUUUCUUGAGAAUAUGGUGA